UCUCGUCAUAAUUAUAUAUAUAAUUAAUUUAAUAUAUGCAUAUCUUUUUACAAAACAAAAUUGUUGAAAGCAAUGGAAUCUCAAACUUGUGUGAUUUGUGGAGGACAUUCAGUUCAUAAGUGCAGUGCCUGUGAAAAUGUUUAUUACUGUAGCAAGAAACAUCAAAAAGAAGAUUGGAAGAAACAUUCAAAAGUUUGUAAAUCCUUUAAGUUAGCAGAAAAUCCUUCAUUGGGUCGUCAUUACGUAGCUACGAGAAAUAUCAAAGUUGGAGAAAUUAUUCUACGGGAUGAUCAACCCCUGAUAACAGGUCUUAUGUACAACAGUGUCCCCGUGUGCCUUCAAUGUUAUACGAUGUUAAAUCAAGAGAUUGCAAUACCUUGCGAAAAAUGUGGCUGGCCUCUUUGUCAAAACUGUAACGAACAUGGAUUGGAAUGCAAAUUUUCAUGUUCUCGCAGAGAUUCUAAGAUAUCAAUAACCGAAUUUGGCUAUCCCCAUCCGAGUUAUCAAUGUAUAAAUAUUAUAAGAGCUUUGUCAUUGAAGGAUACUAAUCCAGAAUCUUAUAAAAAGUUAAUAUCCCUCGAAAGCCACUGCAAUGAAAUAAAUAAUUCUAAAGAGCCAUUAAAUAUUGCUCAUUUUAUCAAGAGGUUCUUCAAGGCAGAUGACAUAUCGGAAGAAGAAAUUGUAACAAUCAUUGGCAUCUUGCAGGUUAAUGGUCACGAAGUUCCAUUAACCGACUCACCAUACGUAGCGGUUUAUGAAAUGGCAUCAUUAAUUGAGCAUAAUUGUAGAGCCAAUUGCUCAAAAAGUUUCACCGAUAUGGGAGGAUUGAUUAUUCGUGCUGCACUACCUAUUACGAAAGGAGAUCACAUUUCUAUAUGUUAUACUGAUCCAUUAUGGGGUACUGCAAAUAGAAGACAUCACCUUCUUAAAACAAAAUUUUUUGAAUGUAUUUGUAAUCGAUGUCAAGAUCCUACAGAAUUUCAAACUAUGUUCAAUGCUUUAAAAUGCAAUAAAAUAAAUUGUUCAGGAUACGUAUUGCCAAAAACUUUCCUUGAACAAGAACAAGAUUACGUAUGCAAAACUUGUGAAUCGAUCGUUUCUUGUACAGAGAUUGAAAAAAUGUUGGAAGACAUUGGUAUACGCCUAUCAAAUAUGAAGAAAAACGAUAUUGUUGCAUGUAAAGAAUUUCUAGACCGAUAUAAAAAUAAUCUUCAUCCAAAUCAUUAUUAUAACAUCGAUGUGACGAUCGCCUUGACUCAAUUGAUUGGACAACAAACUGGAGGAUUGGCGGUAAUCGAGGAAGAUCUUCUGAUUGAGAAAAUAAAAUUAUGCAAAAAAUUGGAUACUUUGCUUAAAUUGCUCGUUCCAGGUGAAGAAUUCUUGAAAACCCUAUUCGUUCUAAACCAAUCCCUACGACGACUGAACGAAGUUGGACGUGCUCGUAAUCAAUCGUCUUACCGAUCUCACACAUGCUUGGCUAUCGAUAAAUAGAGCUGAAAACCGAAUUCGAGGUUUAAUUCUUUUUGAGUUACAUGCAUCUCUUGCAGAAUUAAGUAGAAGAUAUAAAAAUGAGGAAACUAUGAUAUCAUUAAUGCAGGAAUCAAAAAAAUAUUUAAUUGAUGGCUAUCAAUUAUUAAAAUAUGAACCAAAAAUUCUGCCAGAAGGAAAAAUUGCUCAACAUGCUGAAAAAAAUUUAGAAGAAAUAACUAAGCUUUUAAAACGGUUUCAUGUGAAAUAAAAUUCAUAAUAAUUAUGUAUUAAAUA